rnacentral:rRNA from 1 species
GUAGGUGANCCUGCGGAAGGAUCAUUA